UUUAACACAUGCAAGUCGAGGGGCAGCAUGGUCUUAGCUUGCUAAGGCCGAUGGCGACCGGCGCACGGGUGAGUAACACGUAUCCAACCUGCCGUCUACUCUUGGACAGCCUUCUGAAAGGAAGAUUAAUACAAGAUGGCAUCAUGAGUCCGCAUGUUCACAUGAUUAAAGGUAUUCCGGUAGACGAUGGGGAUGCGUUCCAUUAGAUAGUAGGCGGGGUAACGGCCCACCUAGUCUUCGAUGGAUAGGGGUUCUGAGAGGAAGGUCCCCCACAUUGGAACUGAGACACGGUCCAAACUCCUACGGGAGGCAGCAGUGAGGAAUAUUGGUCAAUGGGCGAGAGCCUGAACCAGCCAAGUAGCGUGAAGGAUGACUGCCCUAUGGGUUGUAAACUUCUUUUAUAAAGGAAUAAAGUCGGGUAUGCAUACCCGUUUGCAUGUACUUUAUGAAUAAGGAUCGGCUAACUCCGUGCCAGCAGCCGCGGUAAUACGGAGGAUCCGAGCGUUAUCCGGAUUUAUUGGGUUUAAAGGGAGCGUAGAUGGAUGUUUAAGUCAGUUGCGAAAGUUUGCGGCUCAACCGUAAAAUUGCAGUUGAUACUGGAUAUCUUGAGUGCAGUUGAGGCAGGCGGAAUUCGUGGUGUAGCGGUGAAAUGCUUAGAUAUCACGAAGAACUCCGAUUGCGAAGGCAGCCUGCUAAGCUGCAACUGACAUUGAGGCUCGAAAGUGUGGGUAUCAAACAGGAUUAGAUACCCUGGUAGUCCACACGGUAAACGAUGAAUACUCGCUGUUUGCGAUAUACAGCAAGCGGCCAAGCGAAAGCGUUAAGUAUUCCACCUGGGGAGUACGCCGGCAACGGUGAAACUCAAAGGAAUCGACGGGGGCCCGCACAAGCGGAGGAACAUGUGGUUUAAUUCGAUGAUACGCGAGGAACCUUACCCGGGCUUAAAUUGCAGAUGAAUUACGGUGAAAGCCGUAAGCCGCAAGGCAUCUGUGAAGGUGCUGCAUGGUUGUCGUCAGCUCGUGCCGUGAGGUGUCGGCUUAAGUGCCAUAACGAGCGCAACCCUUGUUGUCAGUUACUAACAGGUUCCGCUGAGGACUCUGACAAGACUGCCAUCGUAAGAUGUGAGGAAGGUGGGGAUGACGUCAAAUCAGCACGGCCCUUACGUCCGGGGCUACACACGUGUUACAAUGGGGGGUACAGAGGGCCGCUACCACGCGAGUGGAUGCCAAUCCCAAAAACCUCUCUCAGUUCGGACUGGAGUCUGCAACCCGACUCCACGAAGCUGGAUUCGCUAGUAAUCGCGCAUCAGCCACGGCGCGGUGAAUACGUUCCCGGGCCUUGUACACACCGCCCGUCAAGCCAUGGGAGCCGGGGGUACCUGAAGUGCGUAACCGCGAGGAGCGCCCUAGGGUAAAACUGGUGACUGGGGCUAAGUCAUAACA
rnacentral:rRNA from 1 species